UCCUGAGAUCUUAUCAGGAAGCUGCUGAUCACCAGCUUCAGGUGUUUCUAUUUAUUGGGAGAUUGUCUUUCCCUGGCACCAGUUGCAACCAAUUAUUACUUUAGAGAGACAGUUUAACAACUGCCUGACCAUCACCCGAUGGUUGCCUGACAUUCCUGAUAAGAGCCCAGGCCAAAGGACACCUUGAUUUUGACCUUGUCAGACCUGGAGUCGAAAAACCAGCUGCACCCUCCUAGAAUUCUUACUUACAAAACUGAAGAUGUUACAAGACAAGAUGAUUUCACUGGGAGCUGAGUUUUGCCAGAUUUGGGGAAAUACUGAUGCAGAACAUCAUUUAUUGAAGGCUGAUACUCAUGCAUAGAAGAGUCAAAGUGUGAAUAUAUGCACCCUUCUAUAUAGAUUCUGCAGAAAGAUAUGCUUGGGUCAUGACUCAGACAAUUUGGAGAGAAUUCCCUGAAACAUUCACUGUGCAAUUCUACUUUCUUGAAUACUUACUAUAAUUAAAGUUCAUUUCUGAUUUACAUAA